AGAGAAGACUGCCAUUAUGUCCUGCCCCACCCUCAGCUGCACACGGUGGGGAGCUGCUCCGGGACCUUGCUUCAGACAUGCAGACAGGCCUUGCCCGUGCCUUCAACCUCUGAUUCCCUGGCCUCCUCGCAACACCCCAGUGGAAGCACUCCUCCUUCUGGAACUUAAGCUGCUGGACCACCGGAGCCUGAGGUGCUGGUGACCUCUGGGGCAGGGGUAAAAAUGAACAAGAAAAAGAACCCUAAAAUGUAUUGACAAGAAUCCUCUCCAAGCCCCCUACAGACAGGAGAGCCCACCUUCCUGGGGAUGGGAAUGCUGUGAGGCAACAUUUAACCAUUGAGGUAUGAACAAAGUCAACUUGUGGGCAAAAAUAAAAAUUCACUGAAUGCA